rnacentral:rRNA from 1 species
CCUACGGGGCGCUGCAGUGGGGAAUAUUGCACAAUGGGGGAAACCCUGAUGCAGCGACGCCGCGUGAGUGAAGAAGUAUUUCGGUAUGUAAAGCUCUAUCAGCAGGGAAGAAAAUGACGGUACCUGAUUAAGAAGCCCCGGCUAACUACGUGCCAGCAGCCGCGGUAAUACGUAGGGGGCAAGCGUUAUCCGGAUUUACUGGGUGUAAAGGGGGCGGAGACGGCAGCACAAGUCUGGAGUGAAAUGCCGGGGCUUAACCCCGGAACUGCUUUGGAAACUGUGCAGCUAGAGUGCAGGAGAGGUAAGUGGAAUUCCUAGUGUAGCGGUGAAAUGCGUAGAUAUUAGGAGGAACACCAGUGGCGAAGGCGGCUUACUGGACUGUAACUGACGUUGAGGCUCGAAAGCGUGGGGAGCAAACAGGAUUAGAUACCCCUGUAGUC